rnacentral:rRNA from 1 species
AGCUCCAAUAGCGUAUAUUAAAGUUGUUGCAGUUAAAAAGCUCGUAGUCUGAUUCUUGGCGGGCACCUGAAGCGUCCGAGGCGCAAGCUUCGCGCACGCAAAGUGCUCUUGCCAACAUGGCCUUUUUGGUCGUGUACUUCGGAGGAACGCGUGUGCUUUUCACUAAGCGUGCGUCGGGAUUCCGAUAGUUUACUUUGAGAAAAAUAGAGUGUUCAAAGCAGGCAUUUUCGCCUUGAAUACAUUAGCAUGGGAUAAUAAAAUAGGACGUUGGUUUUCCUAUUUUGAUGGUUUAAGGACCGACGUAAUGAUUAAUAGGGACAGUUGGGGACAUUCAUAUUCCAUGGCUAGAGGUGAAAUUCUUGGAUUCAUGGAAGAUGAACUACUGCGAAAGCAUUUGUCA